rnacentral:rRNA from 1 species
AUUGAACGCUGGCGGCGGGCCUAACACAUGCAAGUCGAACGGUAACAGGAAGCAGCUUGCUGCUUCGCUGACGAGUGGCGGACGGGUGAGUAAUGUCUGGGAAGCUGCCUGAUGGAGGGGGAUAACUACUGGAAACGGUAGCUAAUACCGCAUAAUGUCGCAAGACCAAAGAGGGGGGAACCUUCGGGCCUCUUGCCAUCGGAUGUGCCAGAUGGGAUUAGCUUGUUGGUGGGGUAACGGCUCACCAAGGCGACGAUCCCUAGCUGGUCUGAGAGGAUGACCAGCCACACUGGAACUGAGACACGGUCCAGACUCCUACGGAGGCAGCAGUGGGGAAUAUUGCACAAUGGCGCAAGCCUGAUGCAGCCAUGCCGCGUGUAUGAAGAAGGGACCUUCUGGUU